GGACUCGAUUUCUUGGUCCGAAUGUGGUUCCUAGUCCAGGCUUCUCUACAGCCACGUUCAGAAAAUGCGAGCUUGGUUCUCCAUGUGCAUACUAUAAUCAGGACUAGGACAUCUGAGCUCUGAUGGUCAAUAAUCUGCAUCAUCUGGACAAUGGAGGGCAUAGGUAUAUGAGCUAUGAAUUAUUUGAGUUCCAUAUGAGUUCGAUAAUGCUCAAAGUCCUUUGUGGGAAAGCGAAAGUAUUGCAGGAAUACAAACACUCAAAUGCAAUGAGAUAAUGCAUGAUAUGUAUUACAACACUUGAAGGUACAUGGUUUCACAAAUUGCAGCAGGAAUUUCAAUGUUGAAUGUUGCACGUGGUAUCUUGAAACUAUUGCAGACUUGGAGUUGAUCAGAGUCAUGCGACUUGAAGCAAUGAAUAUACUCCCAAUGUUAACUUCUAUGCUAUUUGCAUUGGAUCCAUGGGUAAUCUACGAAAUUGUGGCGUCCCCAUCUUCUAUCCACCAGGAUUGCUAGAUGCUCCAUGAGAUUGUUCUUCAUUAUGUGUACUUAUUGUUGAAUCUUCGAUGGUCUGUCAUUUGGAACUGGCUUCUAGUGAAAACGGUGGGUGUGUCGUGUGGUCUCUGGCAUUUAUUUAAGUAUUUUUUAGCAUUGUAAA